rnacentral:rRNA from 1 species
UACGUAGGGAGCAAGCGUUGUCCGGAAUCAUUGGGCGUAAAGCGCGCGUAGGCGGCCCGAUAAGUCCGCUGUAAAAGUCAACGGCUCAACUGUUGAAAGCCGGUGGAUACUGUCGGGCUAGAGUACGGAAGAGGCAAGUGGAAUUCCUGGUGUAGCGGUGGAAUGCGCAGAUAUCAGGAGGAACACCAAUAGCGAAGGCAGCUUGCUGGGACGUUACUGACGCUAAGGCGCGAAAGCGUGGGGAGCGAACAGG